CCUACGGGGGGCAGCAGUGAGGAAUAUUGGUCAAUGGGCGUAAGCCUGAACCAGCCAAGUCGCGUGAGGGAUGAAGGUUCUAUGGAUCGUAAACCUCUUUUAUAAGGGAAUAAAGUGCGGGACGUGUCCCGUUUUGUAUGUACCUUAUGAAUAAGGGUCGGCUAACUCCGUGCCAGCAGCCGCGGUAAUACGGAGGAUCCGAGCGUUAUCCGGAUUGAUUGGGUUUAAAGGGUGCGUAGGCGGCCUUUUAAGUCAGCGGUGAAAGUCUGUGGCUCAACCAGAGAAUUGCCGUUGAAACUGGUAGGCUUGAGUAUGUUUGAGGCAGGCGGAAUGCGUGGUGUAGCGGUGAAAUGCUUAGAUAUCAGGAAGAACCCCGAUUGCGAAGGCAGCCUGCCAGGCCAUGACUGACGCUGAUGCACGAAAGCGUGGGGAGCAAACAGGAUUAGAUACCCGAGUAGUC
rnacentral:rRNA from 1 species